rnacentral:lncRNA from 1 species
ACAAGGAGGAAGACACCCCCGUCGAGAAAACUACCUAUGGUGAAACAACCUAUGGAGAUAGUGAAAAAACUAGCUCUGGUGGUGAUAAUACAUAUGGCGAAAAAACUAGUGCCUAUGGAGAUAAUACAUAUGGAGAAAAAACUAGCACCUAUGGAGAUAACACUACAUAUGGUGAGAAAACUAGUUAUGGUGAUAAUACAUAUGGUGAAAAAACUAGCACCUACGGAGGAGAUAACACGUAUGGAGGUGAGAAAACUAGUUAUAGUGAUAAUACAUAUGGCGAAAAACCUAGCACCUACGGAGGAGAUAACACGUAUGGAGGUGAGAAAACUAGCUAUGGUGGAGGAGAUACGUAUGGAGAUAACAAAUAUGGUGAGAAAACCAGCACCUAUGGUGAGAAUACAUAUGGAGAGAAAACUAGUUAUGGUGGAACUGAGGAAGGUGGCUAUGGUGGAGGAGCUGCUGCCUAUUCAUCUGAGACUACUAAUUAUGAAGACACCACUGAAACCAAAACUGCUGAGGAUUAUAAGGAAGAGAAAAAACACCACAAGCAUCUUGAACAUGUCGGAGAACUCGGUGCCGUUGCCGCUGGCGCCUUUGCUUUGGUAAAUAAUUUUCCUAACAAUUAAUACGCCUAUGAUAGUAUUUACUGUGUGAGCAAAAUAUCCUUAAGGACAUUACUUUUCUUGACACACCAUAACCUAAAUUCUAUGUAUUCUCCAUAUGUAGUAGUGAUUUUUGCAACAAAAAUUUGCAAGAUAUACUAAUCAUGCAUCUAAAAGAUCACUAGUACGUGUAAUUGCCUAUGAUAAGUGAAAUUAAUAAUUCAAGACAUGUAAUGGUGACCACAUUUUUAAUUACUUUAAUACGGCCGGGUCUAACUUUUCCUUUUGAUGAUCACUUAAUUUCUUCCAUUAAUCUUUUUGGUGUGAAUGAAUGUUUCAGCAUGAGAAGCACAAGAUAGAGAAGGACCCAGAGAACGCACACAGGCACAAGAUAGAGGAAGGAAUAGCAGCAGCAGCCGCAAUUGGGUCAGGUGGAUUUGCAUUCCAUGAGCAUCAUGAGAAAAAGGAAGCAAAGGAAGAACAAGAGGAAGCUGAGGGAAAGAAGAAACAUCAUUUCUUCUAAUUUUCUCUCAUCAUAGCAUUUCUUUUCUUCCAAAAUAUAUGAUGUUAUGAGCUUUGUGUGCUUGCUCUAUCCUUGUUUGUUAU